GCCGGGGUCGCCUAGCCCGGGAGGGCGCAAGCCUGGAAAAAUUCAUCCAGCCAGCUUGUGACCCGUAAGGGUCCCGAGGGUUCAAAUCCCUCUCCCGGCG
rnacentral:tRNA from 1 species